UACAGAGGGGGCAAGCGUUGUUCGGAAUUACUGGGCGUAAAGGGUGCGUAGGCGGCCUGCUAAGUCGAACGUGAAAUCCCCGGGCUCAACCCGGGAACUGCGUCCGAUACUGGCAGGCUUGAAUUCGGGAGAGGGAUGCGGAAUUCCAGGUGUAGCGGUGAAAUGCGUAGAUAUCUGGAGGAACACCGGUGGCGGAGGCGGCAUCCUGGACCGAAAUUGACGCUGAGGCGCGAAAGCCAGGGGAGCAAACGGG
rnacentral:rRNA from 1 species